GACGAACGCUGGCGGCGUGCUUAACACAUGCAAGUCGAACGGAAAGGCCCUGCUUUUGUGGGGUGCUCGAGUGGCGAACGGGUGAGUAACACGUGAGUAACCUGCCCUUGACUUUGGGAUAACUUCAGGAAACUGGGGCUAAUACCGGAUAGGAGCUCCUGCUGCAUGGUGGGGGUUGGAAAGUUUCGGCGGUUGGGGAUGGACUCGCGGCUUAUCAGCUUGUUGGUGUGGUAGUGGCUUACCAAGGCUUUGACGGGUAGCCGGCCUGAGAGGGUGACCGGCGACAUUGGGACUGAGAUACGGCCCAGAAUCCUACGGGAGGCAGCAGUGGGGAAUAUUGCACAAUGGGCGGAAGCCUGAUGCAGCAACGCCGCGUGCGGGAUGACGGCCUUCGGGUUGUAAACCGCUUUCGCCUGUGACGAAGCGUGAGUGACGGUAAUGGGUAAAGAAGCACCGGCUAACUACGUG
rnacentral:rRNA from 1 species